UCGUUGUGUAGCGAGUGGUGAUGCCAGC
rnacentral:piRNA from 1 species